UCUGAAAUGCCUGCAGACCUGUUAACAA
rnacentral:sRNA from 1 species